UACAGAGGGUGCAAGCGUUGUUCGGAAUUAUUGGGCGUAAAGCGCGUGUAGGCGGCUUGGCAAGUCGGGUGUGAAAUCCCUCAGCUCAACUGAGGAAGUGCGCCCGAAACUGCUUAGCUUGAGUGCCGGAGAGGAUGGCGGAAUUCCCCAAGUAGAGGUGAAAAUUCGUAGAUAUGGGGGAGGAACACCGGGUGGCGAAGGCGGCCAUCUGGACGGUAACUGACGCUGAGACGCGAAAAGCGUGGGUAGCAAACAGG
rnacentral:rRNA from 1 species